rnacentral:rRNA from 1 species
AUUGAACGCUGGCGGCAGGCCUAACACAUGCAAGUCGAACGGUAACAGGAAGAAGCUUGCUUCUUUGCUGACGAGUGGCGGACGGGUGAGUAAUGUCUGGGAAACUGCCUGAUGGAGGGGGAUAACUACUGGAAACGGUAGCUAAUACCGCAUAACGUCGCAAGACCAAAGAGGGGGACCUUCGGGCCUCUUGCCAUCGGAUGUGCCCAGAUGGGAUUAGCUUGUUGGUGGGGUAACGGCUCACCAAGGCGACGAUCCCUAGCUGGUCUGAGAGGAUGACCAGCCACACUGGAACUGAGACACGGUCCAGACUCCUACGGGAGGCAGCAGUGGGGAAUAUUGCACAAUGGGCGCAAGCCUGACGCAGCCAUGCCGCGUGUAUGAAGAAGGCCUUCGGGUUGUAAAGUACUUUCAGCGGGGAGGAAGGGAGUAAAGUUAAUACCUUUGCUCAUUGACGUUACCCGCAGAAGAAGCACCGGCUAACUCCGUG